CUCACUUUGGUGGCACAUAUACUAAAAUUGGAACGACAGAGAAGAUUAGUAUGGCCCGUGUGCAAGGAUGACAUGCAAAUUCCUGAAGCGUUCCAUAUUUAA